UACGUAGGGGGCCAGCGUUGUCCGGAAUCAUUGGGCGUAAAGCGCGCGUAGGCGGUCAGGUAAGUCCGGUGUGAAAGUCCAAGGCUCAACCUUUGAAUGCCGCUGGAUACUGCUUGACUUGAGUCCGGAAGGGGCGAGUGGAAUUCCUGGUGUAGCGGUGAAAUGCGCAGAUAUCAGGAGGAACACCAAUGGCGAAGGCAGCUCGCUGGAACGGUACUGACGCUGAGGCGCGAAAGCGUGGGGAGCGAACAGG
rnacentral:rRNA from 1 species